UCGAGAAUUUUUCACAAUGGGCGAAAGCCUGAUGGAGCGACGCCGCGUGGGGGAUGAAUGGCUUCGGCCCGUAAACCCCUGUCAUGUGCGAUCAAUGCUAUAGGGUGAACAAUCCUAUAGUUGAUAGUAGCGCAAGAGGAAGGGACGGCUAACUCUGUGCCAGCAGCCGCGGUAAUACAGAGGUCCCAAGCGUUGUUCGGAUUCACUGGGCGUAAAGGGUGCGUAGGCGGUUGGGUAAGUCUGAUGUGAAAUCUCCGGGCUCAACCCGGAAAUGGCAUUGGAUACUAUCCAGCUUGAGGGUUGGAGGGGGGACUGGAAUUCUCGGUGUAGCAGUGAAAUGCGUAGAUAUCGAGAGGAACACCAGUGGCGAAGGCGGGUCCCUGGACAACACCUGACGCUGAGGCACGAAAGCCGGGGGAGCAAACAGG
rnacentral:rRNA from 1 species